rnacentral:rRNA from 1 species
AACGAACGCUGGCGGCGUGCCUAACACAUGCAAGUCGUGCGAGAAAGUUCCUUCGGGAGCGAGUAAAGCGGCGCACGGGUGAGUAACACGUAGGUAACCUGCCCCCAGUCUGGAACAACUAGAGGAAACUCUAGCUAAUGCCGGAUGAGACCACGAUCCCUUCGGGGGUUGCGGCCAAAGAUGGCCUCUACCUGUAAGCUAUCGCUGAGGGAUGGGCCUGCGGGCCAUUAGCUUGUUGGUGAGGUAACGGCUCACCAAGGCUGUGAUGGCUAGCUGGUCUGAGAGGAUGACCAGCCACACUGGGACUGAGACACGGCCCAGACUCCUACGGAGGCAGCAGUGGGGAAUAUUGCGCAAUGGGCGAAAGCCUGACGCAGCGACGCCGCGUGGGUGAUGAAGGCCU